rnacentral:rRNA from 1 species
GACGAACGCUGGCGGCGUGCCUAAUACAUGCAAGUAGAACGCUGAAGGAAGGAGCUUGCUCUUUCCGGAUGAGUUGCGAACGGGUGAGUAACGCGUAGGUAACCUGCCUGGUAGCGGGGGAUAACUAUUGGAAACGAUAGCUAAUACCGCAUAACAGUAGAUAUCGCAUGAUAGCUGCUUAAAAGGUGCAAUUGCACCACUACCAGAUGGACCUGCGUUGUAUUAGCUAGUUGGUGAGGUAACGGCUCACCAAGGCCACGAUACAUAGCCGACCUGAGAGGGUGAUCGGCCACACUGGGACUGAGACACGGCCCAGACUCCUACGGGAGGCAGCAGUAGGGAAUCUUCGGCAAUGGACGGAAGUCUGACCGAGCAACGCCGCGUGAGUGAAGAAGGUUUUCGGAUCGUAAAGCUCUGUUGUAAGAGAAGAACGAGUGUGAGAGUGGAAAGUUCACACUGUGACGGUAUCUUACCA